rnacentral:rRNA from 1 species
AGUGAACGCUGGCGGUAGGCCUAACACAUGCAAGUCGAACGGCAGCACAGUAAGAGCUUGCUAUUACGGGUGGCGAGUGGCGGACGGGUGAGGAAUACAUCGGAAUCUACUUUUUCGUGGGGGAUAACGUAGGGAAACUUACGCUAAUACCUCAUACGACCUACGGGUGAAAGCAGGGGCUCUUCGGACCUUGCGCGAUUGAAUGAGCCGAUGUCGGAUUGGCUAGUAGGGGGGGUAAAGGCCCACCAAGGGGACGAGCCUUAGCUGGUCUGAGAGGAUGAUCAGCACAACUGGAACGAGGAAACGGUCCGAACUCCUACGGGAGGCAGCAGUGGGAAAUAUUGGACAAGGGGCGCAAGCCGGAUCCAGCCAUACCGCGUGAGUGAAGAAGGCCUUCGGGUUGUAAAGCCCUUUUGUUGGAAAAGAAAAGCAGCAGGUUAGAACGGCGCUGUUCUGACGGUACCCAAAGAAUAAGCACCGGCUAACUUCGU